rnacentral:rRNA from 1 species
ACAGUCACACAUUAGAUACCCGCGUAGUCCCAGCCGUAAACUAUGCGCGUUAGGUGUAUCGGUGACCACGAGUCACCGAGGUGCCGAGGGAAAUCGUGAAACGCACCACCUGGGAAGUACGGUCGCAAGGCUGAAACUUAAAGGAAUUGGCGGGGGAGCACCACAACAGGUGGAGCCUGCGGUUUAAUUGGAUUCAACGCCGGACAUCUCACCGGAUAAGACAGCUGAAUGAUUGUCAAUCUGAAGGUUUUACAUGACUAGCUG